GACCUUGCGCUUUAGGAGCGGCCGAUGUCGGAUUAGCUAGUUGGUGAGGUAGAGGCUCACCAAGGCGACGAUCCGUAGCGGGUCUGAGAGGAUGAUCCGCCACACUGGGACUGAGACACGGCCCAGACUCCUACGGGAGGCAGCAGUGGGGAAUUUUGGACAAUGGGCGCAAGCCUGAUCCAGCAAUGCCGCGUGAGUGAAGAAGGCCUUCGGGUUGUAAAGCUCUUUCAGUUGAGAAGAAAAGAUUGUAACUAAUAAUUGCAAUCCAUGACGGUAUCGACAGAAGAAGCACCGGCUAACUACGUGCCAGCAGCCGCGGUAAUACGUAGGGUGCGAGCGUUAAUCGGAAUUACUGGGCGUAAAGGGUGCGCAGGCGGUUCUGUAAGUCAGAUGUGAAAUCCCCGGGCUUAACCUGGGAACUGCGUUUGAAA
rnacentral:rRNA from 1 species